GACAGAGGUGCCGAGCGUUAGGCGGAAUCACUGGGCUUAAAGCGUGUGUAGGCGGGCCGUUAAGUAUCUUGUGAAAUCCCACGGCUUAACUGUGGAACGGCUGGGCAUACUGGCGGUCUUGAGCCAUCUAGGGGCGACUGGAACAAACGGUGGAGCGGUGAAAUGCGUAGAUAUCGUUUGGAACGCCAAUGGUGAAAACAGGUCGCUGGGGAUGCGCUGACGCUGAGACACGAAAGCCAGGGGAGCAAACGGG
rnacentral:rRNA from 1 species